rnacentral:ribozyme from 11 species
UCUUUCUCUUUUUUUCUUUAUGAACGAUCUGUUGGGAAUCAAUCCCAAGGCCAGGAAUGAUCACCUGGCGAUCUGGCGGACCUUAAUAAAAGAAAAAAGAAAAGUAAUCGAUCGGUCUUCUUUUGUUUCUUUCUAAUGACC